rnacentral:rRNA from 1 species
AGCGAACGCUGGCGGCAGGCCUAACACAUGCAAGUCGAACGAACCUUUCGGGGUUAGUGGCGGACGGGUGAGUAACACGUGGGAACGUGCCUUUAGGUUCGGAAUAACUCAGGGAAACUUGUGCUAAUACCGAAUGUGCCCUUCGGGGGAAAGAUUUAUAGCCUUUAGAGCGGCCCGCGUCUGAUUAGCUAGUUGGUUGAGGUAAUGGUUCACCAAGGCGACGUUCAGUAGCUGGUCUGAGAGGAUGAUCAGCCACAUUGGGGCUGUGACACGGCCCAAACUCCUACGGGAGGCAGCAGUGGGGAAUCUUGCGCAAUGGGCGAAAGCCUGACGCAGCCAUGCCGCGUGAAUGAUGAAGGUCUUAGGAUUGUAAAAUUCUUUCACCGGGGACGAUAAUGACGGUACCCGGAGAAGAAGCCCCGGCUAACUUCGUG